GAGUACGUCGACGUUAGGUAGCCGAGACGAAUCGUAGAAAUCUCAUAAUGAAUUAAUAAUAUACUAUAAGGCAUUUUCCUAAAGACAUGUAUUAUUAGCAAUCCCAAUUAUUAUAAAAAUAACUAUAGUUAUCCAUAAAUGCUGCAUUUACACAGAAUAAUGUUAUUAUUGAUAAGUGCUGAUAGAUUAUUAUACAGAGCGUUAUUUUCGGAAUUAUAUAAUGGCAUAAUAUCAUUGAUUUUGUGUUUAUUAUAUGCUCUUGUAUGAUUAACAAUGCGAAAGAUUCAGGAUACUUCGGGACCCGUCUUGAAACACGGACCAAGGAGUCUAACAUAUGUGCAAGUUAUUGGGAUGUAAACCUAAUAGCGUAAUUAACUUGACUAAUAAUGGGAUUAGUUUUUUAGCUAUUUAUAGCUAAUUAACACAAUCCCGGGGCGUUCUAUAUAGUUAUGUAUAAUGUAUAUUUAUAUUAUUUAUGCCUCUAACUGGAACGUACCUUGAGCAUAUAUGCUGUGACCCGAAAGAUGGUGAACUAUACUUGAUCAGGUUGAAGUCAGGGGAAACCCUGAUGGAAGACCGAAACAGUUCUGACGUGCAAAUCGAUUGUCAGAAUUGAGUAUAGGGGCGAAAGACCAAUCGAACCAUCUAGUAGCUGGUUCCUUCCGAAGUUUCCCUCAGGAUAGCUGGUGCAUUUUAAUAUUAUAUAAAAUAAUCUUAUCUGGUAAAGCGAAUGAUUAGAGGCCUUAGGGUCGAAACGAUCUUAACCUAUUCUCAAACUUUAAAUGGGUAAGAACCUUAACUUUCUUGAUAUGAAGUUCAAGGUUAUGAUAUAAUGUGCCCAGUGGGCCACUUUUGGUAAGCAGAACUGGCGCUGUGGGAUGAACCAAACGUAAUGUUACGGUGCCCAAAUUAACAACUCAUGCAGAUACCAUGAAAGGCGUUGGUUGCUUAAAACAGCAGGACGGUGAUCAUGGAAGUCGAAAUCCGCUAAGGAGUGUGUAACAACUCACCUGCCGAAGCAACUAGCCCUUAAAAUGGAUGGCGCUUAAGUUGUAUACCUAUACAUUACCGCUAAAGUAGAUGAUUUAUAUUACUUGUGAUAUAAAUUUUGAAACUUUAGUGAGUAGGAAGGUACAAUGGUAUGCGUAGAAGUGUUUGGCGUAAG
rnacentral:ncRNA from 1 species